AUGCAAGCUGAACUCAGGUCGGUCGAUUCCGUGGCGGCCACGUACGUCGGUUCCCGCUCGCUAUAUAUAUACCCCCACCGCGACGCCGUGAAGCCUCCAUCCAGAGCCCCGGCGGCCAGCCAUCGACUCGAUCCAGCCGACUCGCUCGAUCUCCGAUCAGAUCGGCCGAGGAAGCUUGAUCGAUCGAUCGCCGCCGUUGCCACGCACGCUCGUAGCGCCAUGGAGCCGAAGAAGGACUACAGCACGGCGAUCCUGGAGCGCAAGAAGGCGCCGAACCGGCUGGUGGUGGACGACGCGGAGGGCGGGGUCGCCGUCGACAGCUCGACGGUGGCGCUGAGCCCCGGCACCAUGGACGCGCUCGACCUCUUCAACGGCGACGUGGUGGCGCUCCGCGGCAAGCGCCGCCGCGAGACCGUCUGCUACGCCGCCAAGGACGCGUCGUGCCCCGACGGCCUGGCGCGCGUCAACCGCGUCGUCCGCGGCAACCUGCGCCUCCGCCUCGGCGACCUCGUCACCGUCGUUCCCUGCCCCGGCGUCAAGGACGCCGCCCGCGUCGCCAUCUCCCCCUUCGAGGACUCCGUCGACGGCAUCAGCGGCAACCUCUUCGACGCCUACGUCAAGCCCUACUUCAUUGGCGCGUGGCGGCCGGUGCGCAAGGGCGACCGGUUCGUGGUGCACGGCCACAUGCACGCCGUGGAGUUCAAGGUGGUCGACACGGACCCCGACGAGUGCGUCAUCGUGGCGGCCGGCACGCAGGUCUUCUGCGACGACGCCAGCCCGGUCAAGCGGGAGGACGAGGAGAGGCUCGACGGCCCGGGCUACGACGACGUCGGCGGCGUCCGCAAGCAGCUCGCGCAGAUCCGGGAGCUGGUCGAGCUGCCGCUGCGCCACCCCAAGCUCUUCAAGACGCUGGGCGUGAAGCCGCCCAAGGGGAUCCUGCUCUACGGCCCGCCCGGCACCGGCAAGACGCUGCUGGCGCGCGCCAUCGCGGCCGAGUCGGGCGCCAACUUCGUGGUCGUCAACGGGCCGGAGAUCAUGUCCAUGAUGGCCGGCCAGAGCGAGGACAACCUGCGCGAGGUGUUCGCCGAGGCCGAGGCCCAGGCGCCGUCCAUCAUCUUCAUGGACGAGAUCGACGCCAUCGCGCCCAACCGCGAGAAGACGCACGGCGAGGUGGAGCGCCGCGUCGUGUCCCAGCUGCUCACGCUCAUGGACGGCCUCCGCCCGCGCGCGCAGGUCAUGGUCAUCGGCGCCACCAACCGCCCCAACAGCCUCGACCCCGCGCUCCGGCGCUUCGGCCGCUUCGAUAAGGAGAUCGACAUCGGCGUGCCCGACGAGGUCGGCCGCCUCGAGAUCCUCCGCAUCCACUCCAAGGACAUGCCCCUCUCGGACGACGUCGACCUGGAGCGCAUCGGCAAGGACACGCACGGCUUCGUCGGCGCCGACCUCGCCGCGCUCUGCUCGGAGGCGGCCUUCCAGUGCAUUCGCCAGAAGAUGGACGUGAUCGACCUCGAGGCGGACACCAUCGACGUGGAGGUGCUCAACUCCAUGUCGGUGAUCAUGGACGACCUGGUGCACGCCAAGGAGGUGACCAAGCCGUCGGCGCUGCGGGAGACGGGGCUGGUGGAGGUCCCCAAGGUGUCGUGGGAGGACGUGGGCGGCCUGGAGGACGUCAAGCGGGAGCUCCAGGAGACGGUGCAGUACCCGGUGGAGCACCCGGAGAUGUUCGAGUUCUUCGGCAUGGAGCCGUCGCGGGGCGUGCUCUUCUACGGCCCGCCGGGCUGCGGCAAGACGCUGCUGGCCAAGGCCAUCGCCAGGGAGUGCAAGGCCAACUUCAUCAGCGUCAAGGGCCCGGAGCUGCUCACCAUGUGGUUCGGCGAGAGCGAGUCGAACGUCCGCGACCUGUUCGACAAGGCGCGCCAGUCGGCGCCGUGCGUCCUCUUCUUCGACGAGCUGGACUCGAUCGCCGUCAAGCGCGGCAACAGCGUGGGCGACGCGGGCGGCACGUCGGACCGGGUGCUGAACCAGCUGCUCACGGAGAUGGACGGGAUCAACGCCAAGAAGACGGUGUUCGUGAUCGGGGCCACCAACCGGCCGGACAUCAUCGACCCGGCGCUGCUCCGGCCGGGGCGGCUCGACCAGCUCAUCUACAUCCCGCUCCCCGACGAGGCGUCGCGGCUGCAGAUCUUCAAGUCGUGCCUGCGCCGGUCCCCGCUGUCCAGGCGCGUCAACCUCCCGGACCUGGCCCGCUCCACGGCAGGGUUCAGCGGCGCCGACAUCACGGAGAUCUGCCAGCGCGCGUGCAAGCUGGCGGUGCGCGACGUCAUCCAGAGGAGCUCGCUCGUCGGCAAGGCCGCGGCCAUGGCCGGCGCCGAGAUCACCCGGAAGCACUUCCUGGGGGCCAUGGAGCACGCGAGGCGGAGCGUCAGCGACCUGGACGUGCUCAAGUACGAGUACUUUGCUCGCAAGUUCAAGCAGGGCGGGAGCUUCGAGGAGGAGGCGCCGCAGCCGCAGGUAGCAGGCCCGCCGCAGGGGCAUUUGGAGCUCAAGGCCGCGGAGGACGUCGACGCUUCCAUGGACGAGGAUUCGCUCUACUGA
rnacentral:rRNA from 1 species